AAAGACUGUGAAGAGGAUUCUUACCCUUGCAUUGAAACACCAAACUAGCUCUCCUUGCAAUUGUGGUGGUUCACCUAAUGAAUAAGAAGGAAAAAUCAUUUUGAUCGGGCUCCAGGGAUCCGUCUGUACUGGACUGUUGGACAUGCUGUCUUUCUAAGUGCAGUCUCUUUCAAAAAAAAAAUUAGACAUUAGAGGCACCAAAACAACUUUAGGAUAAUGAAGCAGUUUUGGUGUACAGAUCAUGCCCCUGCAGACUCACUGCUCAUUUCUCUGCAAUUUAGGGGUUGAAUCACUUUGAUUUUCCAUCCCUAAUCACACCACCCUGCAUGUGACUUGCACAGCCUUCCUAAAA